GUGUUAGCCUUUCUCCAGCAGCUAUUAAAAGCAGAAUGAGCGUUAAGAAUCUGAUUACCUUUGAACUAAAUUCAAAACAAAGCUGCGGGGUGAAGCGACUGGAAGCGUCCUGCCAGUCUGACGUGGGUAUCGCUGCCGUGCGUGUUUUCUGCCUGUCUACUGAUCGCUCCUGCCUCUUGUUCUGCUGUGGUAAUUCCUUUGGGGCCUCGGCUGUUGCGUGCAGAGAAGCUGUCAGCCUUGUGAGAGAGCAUGCAGCCGGCAAGCGCAUCGUGGUGCUUCGGUACCGAGCUGAUACCGCAGGCGUCCGUCUUUUGUUUGCGAAAAGGGAUCGCGAGGAAAGGUGCUGACGUUGGAGGGGGAAAGGUGGCGGGAGAACAGAGGUGAUUUCCAGGCGGAGCUGACCAGUGGGGUUCUCUGGCUGAGGGGAAGACCAGCCGUCAGCUGGUGGAUGUGCUUCUGGAAGAAAUAGCAACGGGAGCUCUAAGAGAGGGAAAUGGCUUCCCUGCAUGGGAGGAGGCGGGCAGCGCUGAAGCUUUCGUGGCCAAGCCCCGGAGCCAGGAUGUCAGGGAGAAGCAGGAGUAUCUGAGCCAGCUGAAGAACAAGCUGGGAGAUCUACUGUAAGUAUGGAGGGAAGGGGCUGAUGGGGACAGUAGCUCAGGACCGCGCGUGCAGAGGGAACCCCGCAGUGGACGCAGUGUGCGUGGCCAGCGCAGGCCUCCCUGCGCUACAGGGCUGUGCCC